rnacentral:rRNA from 1 species
CUACGAGGGGCAGCAGUGGGGAAUAUUGCACAAUGGGCGCAAGCCUGAUGCAGCAACGCCGCGUGAGGGAUGAAGGCCUUCGGGUUGUAAACCUCUUUUAGCAGGGAAGAAGCGAAAGUGACGGUACCUGCAGAAAAAGCACCGGCUAACUACGUGCCAGCAGCCGCGGUAAUACGUAGGGUGCAAGCGUUGUCCGGAAUUAUUGGGCGUAAAGAGCUCGUAGGCGGUUUGUCACGUCUGCUGUGAAAAUCCAAGGCUCAACCUUGGACUUGCAGUGGGUACGGGCAGGCUAGAGUGCGGUAGGGGAGAUGGGAAUUCCUGGUGUAGCGGUGGAAUGCGCAGAUAUCAGGAGGAACACCAAUGGCGAAGGCACAUCUCUGGGCCGUAACUGACACUGAGGAGCGAAAGCGUGGGGAGCGAACAGGAUUAGAUACCCCCGUAGUC